AACGCACAUUGCGCCCUAUGGUAUUCCGUAGGGCAUGCCUGUUCGAGCGUCAUUACACCCCUCAAGCUCUGCUUGGUAUUGGGCUCCGCCUUCGGGCCGGCCUCAAAGACAGUGGCGGCGCCUCCGGGUCCUGAGCGUAGUACAUCUUCCGCUACAGGUCCCCUGAGGAUGCUGGCCAGAACCCCAUAACUUCUAGUUUGACCUCGGAUCAGGUAGGGAUACCCGCUGAACUUAA
rnacentral:misc_RNA from 1 species